rnacentral:lncRNA from 13 species
AAUUUCAAACAUGGCGCGCCUUUAGAACUCAUGUUUUCUUGUGAUUUCAGGGAUUCUAGAGAAAAGACCACUCAGAAAGCUCUCCCCAACCCAUCGAAACGCUACCUACAAUUCCUCUAGUGCUGAGAGGCAAAGAGGAACCAGAUGUCGAGAUCGUGGAGGUCACUGGAGGAAGAAUUUCAAGAAGAUGAAAUCUCUUGGCUAAAGAUCAUGAAGAGGCUUUUUAGGAAGAUGUCAUUGGAAGGUAGCCUUAACCUGUUGGUAGGACGAGGUAAGUACAUGAAUCCGUUUCAGUAUUUUGACAUGUCUUUGCACGAUAGGGCAGAGUCUGGUAUUGGAGGUGAACUCUCUAAAUGUAUGGGCAUGGCACUUACCAAUUCCUAGGGGGAUGUGGAAUGUGCCCCCAAAGCACUGGAAUGUAUGGCUUCAUAAGGGCUAGUAGGGGUAUUUUUGGCCAAGGGAGUUCAAGAAUUUCUGAAAGUUUGUUUUUCUUUUCUUUCUUUUUCUGAGACAGUGUCUCACUGUGUUGCCCAGGCUGGAGUGCAAUGGCGUGAUCUUGGCUCACUGCAACCUCCACUUCCUAGGCUCAAGUGAUCCACUUCAGCUCCCCAAGUAGCUGGGACUACAGGCAUGUGCCACCUCACCAGGCUAAUUAAAAAAAAAUUUUCAUAGAGACAGGAAAAAAAUAUGUCUUCAUGUUGCCUAGGCUGGUCUCGAACUCCUGAGCUCAAAUAAUCUUCCUGCCUUGGCCUCUCAAAGUGCUGGGAUUACAGGCAUGAGCCAUCCACCCUCAAUAGUUUUGUUUAUUUUAAUUUAAGGAUGCUAUUGAUGCUUUUUACCUUUCUAGGAGAUUGUUGGUGGUAAGGGCAGUGUAGUUUUUCAGUAAAGGGUGAUGCCUUACAGAGUUUUAAAAUAAUGUUUCCCAUAGAAAGUAUGUGCCUUGAUAACUUGAUAUAAAAGUUAGUAUGCUCCAGGUCGGAAACAGUAUCAAACAGAUUUUUAGUGUCUGCAAGGGAUGUAGCUUUCUGGCUUGGAAUAAUUCAGCCUAUCCUGAAAGUAGGCAUACAAAAACUAAAAUAUGUUUAAAUCCCAGGAAGCUAGAUGAAAUCUACAUGAAAGACCAGGUGCAGUGGCUCAGGCCUGUAAUCCCAGCACUUUGCGAGGCCAAGGUGGGAGGAUCUCUUGAGUCCAAGAGUUCUUGACCAGUCUUAGCAACAUAGUGAGACCUCAUCUAUAUUGCCAAAUAUAUGUAUAUAAUAUUAUAAAUAUAAGUGCAAAUGACAUAAUGACUAGCCAAUAGGGAACCAAUUAGCCAGUCUUAGUGGCAUGUGCCUGUGGUCCCAACUACUAGGGACACUGAGGCAGGAGGAUUGCUUGAGCCUGA